UCACUUUCAACAACGGAUCUCUUGGCUCUCGCAUCGAUGAAGAACGUAGCGAAGUGCGAUAAGUAAUGUGAAUUGCAAAAUUCCGUGAAUCAUCGAAUCUUUGAACGCAAAUUGCACUCUCUGGCAACCCGGGGAGUAUGCCUGUUUGAGG
rnacentral:rRNA from 1 species